UACGAAGGGGGCUAGCGUUGCUCGGAAUCACUGGGCGUAAAGGGCGCGUAGGCGGCCUGAUCAGUCGGGGGUGAAAGCCUGUGGCUCAACCACAGAAUGGCCUUCGAUACUGGGACGCUUGAGUAUGGUAGAGGUUGGUGGAACUGCGAGUGUAGAGGUGAAAUUCGUAGAUAUUCGCAAGAACACCGGUGGCGAAGGCGGCCAACUGGACCAUUACUGACGCUGAGGCGCGAAAGCGUGGGGAGCAAACAGG
rnacentral:rRNA from 1 species